rnacentral:rRNA from 1 species
GAUGAACGCUGGCGGCGUGCUUAACACAUGCAAGUCGAGCGAUUUACUUCGGUAAAGAGCGGCGGACGGGUGAGUAACGCGUGGGUAACCUGCCCUGUACACACGGAUAACAUACCGAAAGGUAUGCUAAUACGGGAUAAAGUGCUUUUAUCGCAUGGUAGAAGUAUCAAAGCUCCGGCGGUACAGGAUGGACCCGCGUCUGAUUAGCUAGUUGGUGAGGUAAUGGCUUACCAAGGCGACGAUCAGUAGCCGACCUGAGAGGGUGAUCGGCCACAUUGGAACUGAGACACGGUCCAAACUCCUACGGGAGGCAGCAGUGGGGAAUAUUGCACAAUGGGCGAAAGCCUGAUGCAGCAACGCCGCGUGAGCGAUGAAGGCCUUCGGGUCGUAAAGCUCUGUCCUCAAGGAAGAUAAUGACGGUACUUGAGGAGGAAGCCCCGGCUAACUACGUGCCAGCCGCCGCGGUAAUAC